rnacentral:lncRNA from 1 species
GGGAGUCCUCCUCGUGCGGGAGGUGCGAGGAGCUGGGUUCCCCGGCGGCUGCGGAGGGGGCGCGCCGGACAGCGAGGCGCAGAACCAGCCGCCUACGGAGCCCAGCUGUUUGUAGCCGGGGCAUGCGGGUGGGGCGCGCCCGAGUGGUCCCCGCCGGGCGGGGGCGGCGGGGGCUGGAGAAGGCGCCCAGCGCGAAGCCAGCGGGUGCCCCGAGGGCGGAGGACAGGUGGUUGCGUGGCCACCGCCAGGUAGCAAACUGCUCGGGGCCUGCGCAGCGCGGUUCCAACGCUUCGCCCGCCUCCGGGCCUGGCUCACUAUUGCCCGCCGCAAUUGCCCGGGGGCGUCCUGGGGCAAGCUGAACGGCCAGUGGCCGCACCGCCGGCCCGGCGCGUCUCGGCCUCUCGCCUCCUGCUCCCCUCUCCCUCACCGCUCAGCCCGCUGCCCCAGACGUGACCCCCGCGCAAGGUGUUGGCGCUGCGCGCAACCGGGGCGCGCGUGAUUAAUGGCCCCGAGGUCGGGGGCGGCGCAGGCACGAGCCCCUUCUUGGCUUGGCUGGGGUGUGAGGGUAUCCGGGAGGAGAGCCAGGUCCUAGCAGUGGGAGCCCCCGGGACCGCGGCGGCGACGGCGCAGGAGGAGGAGGAGGAGGAGGAAGAGAAGUAUGUGACGCGGGCCGGAGAGGCUUGUCCCCUCCGGCCCCAGGGCCGGCGCCACGGCAGGUCCCCCGCGCCAGCAAAGUUUGGAGCCACGGGUGCCGCGCUGCGCGGUGCGCGGGUUCCUCCCCGCGCAGUUCCCUCGGUGGGGUCUGUACCGCCGCUGCUGCCAGGGCAGGACAAAGGCUCAUUAACACGUGAUGGGACCGCGCUUCAUAAAUGGGACUGGAGCGAGAGGGAGCCAGAGACAGAGCGCCCGCGGAGGCAGAGGCAGGGACCGCACGAGCGUGGCGAGGCGACGGGCGCCAGUGCUGGCGGAGACCUGCGGCCCCACGCCGAGCCAGGCGGGGCGAGCGGGAGGACCCACUGAAGAGCCCGGGGAAGGGGCGAGGCUCGCGGGCGGCGGGAGCGGAGGGGUCGCCAGUCCCGGUCGCUGUCGCGGGCGGGCGGGUGCUGGAGGAUUCCCUGCUGCGGGUCUCUUUCUCAGUCCUUUUGAGUUUGG